AUGCGUGUGAACAAGGCUGUAAAUUUGGUGAAUGCAAAAAUGGGAAGUGUUCAUGUAUGGCAUUUUUCAAGGGAAAGUCUUGCCAAAAACCUGAACCAUGGUUUCUAGUAGCAGCAUCUGUUCUGGGAACUAUUUUGAUGAUGAUGAUAGGUUGUUGUGUUUGUCGUUUUUGCUGCGGAUAUGGAAGGAAAACUGAGCCUGAACAGACAGACAAAAGCGUUCAUAAUUGAAAUAGACCGUUAUAAACAGUUGUAGUAAUAGUAAAAUAAAUCAGAAGUUUUAAUGUCAAUUGUUUAUCUACGGGAAACAAGA